CAGGGCUCCGUGAUGUCAAGGCGGGUGCUGAGGAAGGGGAGGAGGAGGGGCCCGGCUGUUUUUCGGGAGAGUUAGAGCUCGGGAGACAAAGCAGCUGGCGGGCCAGGCAGGCGCCAUGGAGCUGCGGUCCCCGGUCAUUCUCUGGCAACUUGUGCUUCUGCAGAGCUUUGCUGUCCUUCUGUCCUCAGGCCUGUCUGGGCCGGACAGCUCGGUGGUGUCUGAGUCCGCAGUGAGCUGGGCAGCGGGAGCCCGCGCCGUGCUGCGCUGCCAGAGCCCGCGCAUGGUGUGGACCCAAGACCGGCUGCACGACCGCCAGCGUGUGGUCCACUGGGACCUCAGCGGCGGCCCGGCCGGCGGCCCCGCGCACCGACUCGUGGACAUGUACUCGGCGGGCGAGCAGCGCGUGUACAAGCUGCGCGACCGCGGGCGCUUGCAGCUGCCUCCCUCCGCCUUCCACGACGGCAACUUCUCGCUGCUCAUCCGCGCGGUGGAGGAGACAGACGAGGGGCUGUACACCUGCAACCUGCAUCACCAUUACUGUCACCUCUACGAGAGCCUGGCCGUGCAACUCCUGGUCACCGACAACGCCCAGGCCGCCGGCGCGCACUGGACGGGCGAGAAAGAGGUGCUGGUAGUGGAGCGCGGCGCGCCCGCGCUGCUGACCUGCGUGAACCGCGCGCACGUGUGGACCGACCGGCACCUGGAGGAGGCGCAGCAGGUGGUGCACUGGGACCGGCAGCCGCCCGGGGUGCCACACGACCGCGCCGACCGCCUGCUCGACCUGUACGCGUCGGGUGAGCGCCGCGCCUACGGGCCGCCCUUCCUGCGCGACCGCGUGGCAGUCGGGGCGGACGCCUUCGCGCGCGGCGACUUCUCGCUGCGCAUCGACCCUCUGGAGCCCGCAGACGAAGGCACCUACUCCUGCCACCUGCACCACCACUACUGCGGCCUGCACGAGCGCCGCAUCUUCCACCUGAGAGUUACCGAGCCCGCCGCCGAGCCGCCCCCGCGGGACUCGCCGGGCAACGGCUCCAGCCACGGCGGCGCGCCCGGCCCAGGUGCAGGGGGGCCCCACCAGCCGAGGAAACUUCCGCGGGGCCGGGGGGCGGCCCGCCGCCCCCCCCCGCCCUUCUCCCCCACCCCCCGCUCCUGUCCCACAUCUGGGACUUGGGUGUUGGCGGAGGGAAUGGGGGCCCGCAGCGCCGCGGGGAGGCCCGAGUCGCGAUGCGCACUCCCUGACACUGCUCCCACAUGGUCCCCGCAGACCCCACGUUGGCACGCGGCCGCAGCGUCAUCAACGUCAUCGUCCCCGAGGGCCGGGCACACUUCUUCCAGCAGCUGGGCUACGUACUGGCCACCCUGCUGCUCUUCAUUCUGCUGCUCAUCACUGUGGUCCUGGCCACCCGACAGCGCCGCCGCGGAGGCUAUGAAUACUCCGACAAGAAGUCCAAGUCAAAGGGGAAGGACGUGAACGUGGUGGAAUUUGCUGUGGCCACAGGGGAUCAGGCUCUUUACAGGAGUGAGAACAUCCAACUCGAUUACAAAAACAACAUCCUCAAGGAGAGGGCCGAGCUGGUCCACAGCCCCCCACCCCCCAAGAACAUCGACUUGGACAAAGAAUUCAGGAAGGAGCACUGCAGAUAAGGUGAUCCUGGGCUCCUGGCUGGGCCAGCAGCUCUGCCAACUCCUGUCUGUCCACCUCAGAGGACUCCUGACCCCAUGCCUGGCCCCGCUUCCAGCGGCUGGUCCCGCUGUCCUGGAAUUUGGCUCGGACUCGUGCCGAAGGAGGCUGCUUCCAGACCCCUCUCCUCACGCCCAAGAGUGGGCUCCUUGGGACUCUGCCAGGGCUGCAGCCAUGCCCCCUGUGGCCGCCCUUGGCCCAUGCCCUUCCCUCCUGGCACAGCCUAGACCCCACUGAUGUGCACCAAAUCCCCAGGCUCUCCUGGCCUCUGCCUGCAGAGUUGGGGAAGGGCAGGAAGGCACUCUUGGAGGGGGUUUGGUGGGGAUUCCUGGAGCUGGCGUCAGCCGCAGGGCUGGCACUCCCACCCCUUCCUUUACCAGCCAGGCUGCCCUGCCGAGGGUUCUGCAUGGGAUGAGGGCUGUGCACCCCGGGUGGUGUUCCUCUGCACUGUGUCCAGCCACCUGGGGCUGCCCUGGGGCCCCGUCUCUGCCUCCCACCCUGCCCCAGCCCUGUUUCCAUCAGGCUGCCUUGACAGUCACUGGGCUCCACGUGACUUUUUUCUUUUUUGCUUUUUAGGGCCACACCCACAGCAUAUGGAGGUUCUCAGGCGAGGGGUCUGAUUGGAGCUACAGCUGCUGGCCUGCACCACAGCCCCAGCAACUCGGGAUCCCAGCCGCGUCUGCAACCUAUACCACGCCAGAUCCUUAAUCCACUGAGCAAGGCCUGGGACCGAACCUGUGUCCUCAUGGAUGCUAGUUGGAUUUGCUUCCGCUCUGCCAGAAUGGGAACGCCUUUGUGUGACUUUUGACCCUGACCCUCUUCCCUUAAGCCCCUCCCUGGGCCAGAGUCCGGGGAUGAGGCCUCAUCUGACUUCUUUUUUUGGCUGCGGACAGGAGGGAGUGAGGGUGGCUUGGGAGUGGCCAGUCCUGCCGCUCCUGCCUCCCACGUCUGCUCAUCCUAGGGAACUGCCACCAUCACAAUAAAGACCACAUCUGACUUUUA